rnacentral:rRNA from 1 species
UACGGAGGGUGCAAGCGUUAUCCGGAUUCACUGGGUUUAAAGGGUGCGUAGGUGGGCAGGUAAGUCAGUGGUGAAAUCUCCGGGCUUAACCCGGAAACUGCCAUUGAUACUAUCAGUCUUGAAUACCGUGGAGGUAAGCGGAAUAUGUCAUGUAGCGGUGAAAUGCUUAGAUAAGACAUAGAACACCAAUUGCGAAGGCAGCUUACUACCCGAAUAUUGACACUGAGGCACGAAAGCGUGGGGAUCAAACAGG